rnacentral:rRNA from 1 species
UACGAAGGGGGCUAGCGUUGCUCGGAAUCACUGGGCGUAAAGCGCACGUAGGCGGAUUGUUAAGUCAGGGGUGAAGUCCUGGAGCUCAACUCCAGAACUGCCUUUGAUACUGGCGAUCUCGAGUCCGGGAGAGGUGAGUGGAACUGCGAGUGUAGAGGUGAAAUUCGUAGAUAUUCGCAAGAACACCAGUGGCGAAGGCGGCUCACUGGCCCGGUACUGACGCUGAGACGCGAAAGCGUGGGGAGCGAACAGG